AAAACAUCUUACUGCUCACGUCAUGAAGAUAGAAAAGUCAAAGUUCAAAGAAGAUAAGGAAUUUGCUCAAAGCUAUUCAGCUGGUAAAUGGGGUUUGACUACUAUUUUUUAAAGUAUGUGUUCUUUCUUAGACAAAAAAAAUACAAAUAUAAUUCUACCAAGUAGGCUUUGACGGAAAGCAAGACAUUGUUAGCUUUGGAAAGGAGAGAGUGAGAAGGGAAGAAAAUGAGAGAAAACAGCAGUGACUGUGUGGGAUGGUGGUAGUGGGUGACAGAAGAGAGAAUAUAUUAACAAGCUCUUGCUCUUUUUGCCUUCAUCCCAGGGAAGGUCCCCCUGGAGAAGGGAAUGGCAACCCACUCCAGUAUUCUUGCCUGGAGAAUCCCAUGGACAGAGGAGCCUGGAGAGCUACAGUCCAUGGGGUUGCAGAGUCAGACACGACUGAACAACUAACACUUCACUUCAACAAAGAAGAUAUUCUACAUCCAAAGACAUAACGAAGAAACCCAACAAGAGAGUAAGAGAGACGCGCUAGCAAUAUCAUCAAAUCCUACCUGGGUGGGUGAGCCACAAACCAGAGAAUAAUUAACAGAAAUUCUCUCACAAUAGUGCGAGUUCUCAGCCUCAGCACAGACCACCCCCCAACCUCCCGCCCCAGGCGGAGGUUCUGGUAAUGGGAGGAGGAGCCCCAGAGCAUUUGGCUUUGAAGGGCAGCAGGGCUUGAUUGCAGCAGCUCUAUCCGACUUUGGGAAAGAGAAACUGCACUUGUGGAGAGCACACACAAGGUCUCAUGUUCACCAGGACCCAAGGCAAAAGCAGUGACUUCGUAGGAGCCAGGGCAAGACCUACCUGCUGACCUUUGGGGGAUCUCCUGGGGAGGCAGGGGGUGGCUGUGGCUCUCUCUGAGGUCAUAAAAGCUAGUGAUGGAAAUACAAGGGAGUGUUCAUCUACCUGAACUCCUGCUGGUAGCAGACAUCUUGCUUGAGUAACAAGUGCCAGGACCUGGCCCCACCCAAAAGGCUGCAGGCUCUAGCAUUGGGAUACCACAAUCCAAACAAGCAUCAGGGUAAACAUAUCCGUAUGCAUCAGGCUACCUAAGGAUUUACUAAGCCCACACCCACCUCUAGGCACGCCCUUUGACAUGGCUGCCUACCAGAGGGAUAAGAACUGGCUCCACCCACCAGUGGGCAGGCACAGUCCUUCCUGCCAGGAACCCUGCACAAGCCUGCAGGUCCGAACCUACCCUGGAACCAGCCGGUCUCUGGCCCUUGGGUGAUGAGAGGGCUUAACAUCAGUGCCUGAUUUAUGAAGAACAGAGCUGACAUCAUACUUUGUGGAAUUCAUUCCUGGAAACAAGACUGAGGCACACCAAAGCAACAACAGGCACAUGAGGAAGCAAAGAUACUGAACUUAUGACUCUACUUGUUCCUUGCCUCUUGGUUUAGGAACUCUAUGAAAUAGGUUCUAGGAAAGUCAUCAAUGAUCAUGAGAAAUGAAUUUACCAGAACAGUUCUACCUCUCCUCUCUUCUCCUGAUCCUUCUCUGAGGUUCCUAGACCAUAAAUUAAUAAAAUACCAAAAUAAACUGAAAACGACAAACUU